rnacentral:rRNA from 1 species
GACGAACGCUGGCGGCGUGCUUAACACAUGCAAGUCGAACGAAAAGAGGGAAAGCGCUUGCUCUUUCCGGUAUUGAGUGGCAAACGGGUGAGUAACACGUAAACAACCUGCCUUAAGGAUGGGGACAACAGACGGAAACGACUGCUAAUACCGAAUAAGUUCAACGAACCGCUUGGCCGAUGGAAGAAAAGUUGGCCUCUACUUGUAAGCUAUCGCCUGAAGAGGGGUUUGCGUCUGAGUAGAUUGUUGGAGGGGUCACGGGCUACCAAGGCGACGAUCAGUAGCCGGUCUGAGAGGAGGAACGGCCAAAACGGAACGGAGACACGGGCCCGGCGCCUACGGGGGGCAGCAGUGGGGGAUCUUCCGCAAUGGGCGAAAGCCUGACGGGGCAAAGCCGCGUGGGUGAUGACGGGCUUCGGGUUGUAAAACCCUGGGUUCCGGGACGAAAAGGCAGAGUGCGAAGAACAAAAUGCAUUGACGGUACCGGAAAAGCAAGCCACGGCUAACUACGUG